GUUCGUCGAUUGCCCAUUGCACCCCAUGUGUGCAUCUGCUCCUUUUUGGCACCCUUGGACGUGGCCACUUCCACCGCGACAGCACACACCAUGCUAGUGGUGCUCGACAUCUCCGCAUCUCUCGCUCUACCUUGCACGCACCCAACAACACAGGCAUCAAACCCACCGCCGCUUGCCCCAGUACACGUCCCCCUUCAUCUCAUGCCUACCUGCGGCCCGGUAGCCCUUGACCCCUCUUUCUCUCAUCGCCCCUCAGCUCGCCAUGAGGCACACCGAGGCCAAGCAGGCCGUGCGCGAGGCCGAGGCACUCGUCGCAGAGAGCCCCUUCAGCCUCCGACCCUUCUCCAACUGGAGCCCGGGGGACUGGAAGGCGAAGGGGUGCGAGCGCGACGAGAUCCGCGAGAACAUGCUGUGCUGGGCCAUCACCGACUUUGGCUGCAGCCACUUCCGCGAGUGCGGCCCCACACUCACCACCGCCCGCAAUGGCGACCAGCUCAUUGUGGGGGAGGGCCAGCCCUGCCCUCGCCACCUACACUGCAAGAAGAGGGAGGACCUUAUCCACCGCGGCGGCUGCGUGCCGGCCAAGAGGCUGCUCCAGAGUCUCUCAGGGGCGCGAGGCGAUGGGCACCAAGGAGGAGCUACGUGUGCACUGCGUGGGCAUCGAGAGGGUGUGCCCUACGGACCACAUGCUCGAGCUGAGACCGGCUGAGGGCAUCACGGUGACGCAGGGCCUCUGCCACGAGCUGCGUGCCGAGGCCACCAUGGGCAAGCUACUUGGUGGUGAGGUGAGCCGGCGCAACGACGACGACCCUGACCGCCGCUUCGCCGCUAUGGUGGGCGGCUUCCCGACGAUUGUGAAGGACGAGAAGUCCAAACGGCUGCUGUGCAACGAGUGCCCGUCGGUGUCCAAGGAUCCCCGAGGUCUAGUCGACAGCGCUCUGGCGAGAGGCGCGUGCACGUGCACCCAUCACUUUCUUGUACCUGCCGUGCUCGGAAGGCGAAUAGACACAACACCCGAAGACAGCGGCAGCAGCACUAGUGGCAGCGGAUGCAGCAGUAGCGGCACACGGAGACGCAAGCAGGGACGCACACACC
rnacentral:misc_RNA from 1 species